ACCACCUACCCUUAUCCAUAUCAUAUGGGGUAUCACAGUUAAGCAAUUUAAUUUUUCCAUUGACCAUGCUGGUUCUGUGAGGAAAUUUCAGAUUUCAAAAUUGGAUGAGCUUAGGCGAGAUGCAUAUGACAAUUCUAAAUUGUCAGAGGAACGCAUGAAGGUGUUACAUGACAAGCACAUCCAGAGAACAAGGGUAUUUUUGGAAGAGUCCCACCAAUUGAAUGUGCAACACCCAAAUACUAAGGGCUAGGGAUUUGAAACACAAAAUGAAAAAGAAAAUGAGGAAAGCAGCAACUGGCCUCAAGCCGUGCAGCAACACACUCACGCACGCGGGACUGCAGGGGCUAGAACGUGGCUUGAGGUGCAGAGCAGUUCACGCAGGCAGGCUAAAAGGGAGAUGCAGAGCAGGGGCUGGAUUGAGCGGCUUAAGACGGGCAUUGCAGAGGAAAAGAAAAGGGGAAUCACGCACUGCAGAUGGAUAUGGCAAGCCCUUCAAGAAGCCUAUGCUGAAUAAUCCUAAGAAAGGGAGUUCCAGCUCACUCAACAAUUGACAUACAUGAGGAAGGAAGACACAACGUCACUGCAAGAUCACCUCCAAAGCUUCAAGACAAUGUGCGACCACCUAGCUGCAAUCGGAUGUCCCGUGAGUGACAAGAUGAAGGUUUUUUCCCUCCUCAAUAGCUUGGGUCCGAAAUACGAACCCUUCACCACCUCCAUGUUCAAGCCGCUGAUGCCCUCCUAGACCAAGCUUGUACCGCUGCUGCAUGGAUACGAGAUGCGGACUCAACUUCAUGAAUCCUUCAACAUAGGUGUACACUUUCUAUGGGAACAAAACUAGACACGGGAACAAGGGCAAACAAUGCCCGUUCUCCUCCAACUGGUGCUCGUGACACUGCUCAUGAUAAAAUGGAGACCUGUCAAAUUUGCAGAAAAAAGAUAUUAAAAUGUUGCCACCGGUUCGACUAUCAUCUCCAAUCCGAUGAUAUUUCACAAGCAUUGGCUUCUCUUACUCUUGAAAAUGGUACUCAUGCUACAAAAUGGACUGCAUACACUAGUGCUUCUACCUAGAUGACUAGUAUCUUAGGUGUGCUAUCUAAUCUUCAUAAAUAUCUUGGUAAGAGCACUCUCAAUGGAUCAUUCAUCCUAUCCUUCAAAAUACAUCACCAAAAUCUAU